rnacentral:pre_miRNA from 1 species
AAUAAGAUUAUUUUUCAAUCUUUUGAUACAAUGUUUUGACUCUUCAUUUUAUUUGAAAUUUUUUUACGAUUAAUAUUUUUAUUCUCACUAGAUGAUAAAACAUGAAUAGUACUUUAUACGUGACUAAUUUUUUAAAGUUUUUAUAAAUUUUUUAAAUAAGACGAAUGGUUAAACGCUGGACAUGGAAAAACAAG